rnacentral:pre_miRNA from 1 species
UUUGAUCUGAAUUGAUUUAUGUUUGGAUACACUAAUGUAAGUGAUUCUUAUGAGUUGAUGAUGUUUGGAUAU